UACGUAGGGUGCAAGCGUUGUCCGGAAUUAUUGGGCGUAAAGAGCUCGUAGGCGGCUUGUCGCGUCGGCUGUGAAAACCUGGGGCUCAACCCCGGGCCUGCAGCCGAUACGGGCAAGCGUAGAGUUCGGUAGGGGAGACUGGAAUUCCUGGUGUAGCGGUGAAAUGCGCAGAUAUCAGGAGGAACACCGGUGGCGAAGGCGGGUCUCUGGGCCGAUACUGACACUGAGGAGCGAAAGCGUGGGGAGCGAACAGG
rnacentral:rRNA from 1 species